ACUACAUUUCCCAUGUGCCCUGGCUGUCACAGACUAAUAGCACCAGCUGCUUUCCAUUGCCCUAAGGAGUGAUUCUACUGCUGCAACGAGACCAAAUACAACGAAAGUAUUGAUGCUGCAAAAGAAGACGGAUCUUUUGGUAGGCUGGUUAAUGAUGACCACAAGCACCCAAAUGGCAGAAUGCAGAAGACUGAAGUGGAUGGAAGCCCACAUCUUGGUCUGUUUGCUUUAACAGACUUUAAAGAAGGUGAUGAAAUUACCUACAAUUACGGAGGAGGAGACUGGCCUUGGCGUAGCAAGAUUUUCCAAAUGUCUAUUAAAUAUGCAGAUUAUGGAGGGGGACACUGCUGAGAGCAAUGGCCAGGAGAAACAGCAGCCAUCACAGUCUACACCUUUUCUGGAUCAUAAAUAUCAGAAUUGUGUAGUUUGCUGGCACUUUUAAUCCUGCCUUUCAAUCACACCUCUCCAUAAUUUCCAACAUAAGCAUCCCCUGGGACUCAGUAGGGUCCCUACUGCAUCUUCUCCAAGAAAACCGAGUACUCCUAGUUACUAUUUGGUACAUGUGCACAAACUGCAGUCAGAGUUUUCAUUCUUGAGACGUGAAAUGUAAAACAUCUACUCUGAAUAAGAGGAAGGCUCGGGAAGGAAAUGAGGUCCAUGCAGUGGAGAGACAUAUGAAGACCUUCAUCAUGUCAUGUCGUGUCCCAGGGAAGUUGGUCUGUGAAAACUGCAUUAGAUCUGAGUCUUUAUAUCUUAAAGAUAGAGACUGGCAAAGUGUCAAAUUCUAUGUCUACAACUGCACUGUCGCUUACAAAAGAGAUAUAAACAAAGAUUAAAUAACACUUUGAUAGUAACACUUUACAUCUAUAUUACAGAUACUGUAUAUCAUAACAUCUGUAGUAAUGCUUUAAUAAUAAGUUACAUUACACCUCUAGCCUUUUACUUUGUAAUGAAACACUCAGCAUUUACUUCAUCAUAAACUAAUCAGGAACAAAUCAGGCAUUUAAAAUAUCCAUUAGAAUCUUUACCUACACCGUUAUAUUGAAUUAGAUCAAAUUGGUUUGGGCCGCCUUCUUCCAGUGGGUCCUUAUGCAGGUGACUGACAAGUUCAUGAGUAAGCCUAUUGGGCAAUAAAAGCUUCAGUGUGCUACCCAUUUACAUGUUUAGACUGCCUGGAAUCAAAAUGAGCUACCUCAACAUACAUUAUUAAGUUGUUACUGUCACUUUUUAGCUUAGUCAGUUAAGUGGAUAUAGAAUAAAGAAAAAUAUUGUGUUUAUGACAUUUGGUUGUGUGUCUGUGUUUGGCUAGUAUCUUUAUUUUUCUCAAUAUGUUUAACUUUGAGAUGGCUAUAUGUAGUAAGCAGAAGUGUUAUGUCAAACUUAAAUGAGUCCAAGUUCAUUCAUGGCACAUGUGUGCUUAGUAGUUGUGCACUUUAAUGGGCAAAUAUUUGUUGUCUUUUACAGUAAAGAAGCUCAAGACUCAAGUUGUCUUUAUAAUGUUGAAUAGACAGGGUUUUUUCAUCUGACUGACAAUUUUUCACUUGAUUAGAGAUCCAGACCAAUAAACAAAUCCUUCAUGCAGCUAAAAUAUGAAAAGGAUGAGUUUCUUUGUCAUUUCGACUUGCCAAAAUGACUGGGGAUAGUGUUAAUUUGUGAUGCAUGCCUGUGAUAAAUAAGUGAGGUUCAGUACAGCUAGCACCUCUACUUUCUAUUCCACAAAAAAAAUUGUAUACUUUGGAGCAGGAAAUGAAAUGCUUCUUAGAAUUAUAGCCUCAAAACUAAUAAUAGCACUGGUAACACCUUCCUUAACAGGUUCCUAGGUUUCUCAAAAGGUUCCUCUGUUGGAAAUAGAAAGCUCCAAAGAAAUGUAGUCUGUUAUCUAUUACGUGCAGAUAUUGAAAUUUGUGUAAGAGAGCUUUUUGAAACCAAACUUUCACUGAUUGCAUAUUUCACAAAUAAGGCUAAGAGUCCUUCGUAUAAACAAUUAAGAACAACUGUUCAAUUUAAUUUCAUGAGAAGCUUAAACCUUCAAAUAGAGAAAAUACACAUCAUAUCUGCUUUACAGACAGCCCUCUAAAUUGGACAUACUUAGUUUGUAAUUUUGUAUAAAUAAUUAGAGUUAAAUUGACAACUUUUGUUUUUUAAAACCAUGUCCCCUUGUUGAACUACCUGAUCUGUGUGUAUGCAGAUUAACUAUGUAGUGAUGUCCCCUCUACAACAUGAAAACCAGUUAAUUUUCUGUGUAUGAAAAUUAGCUAUCUAGUGAUGUCCCCACUAUAACAUGAAAACCAGUUAAUUUGCUGUGCAUGCAAAUUAGGUCCCCAUUAAUGAUGAGUUCUUGUUAUGUCCACAUUAGGUGUGAAAAAACCAAGCACAGAAAUGUUGAGAUUUAAAUCCAGAAUUUGAGAUGAUGUGUGUUCUCAGGCUUAAAUUAUACAUGCCUGAUUUUUUUCACAUCUGUAGGACCUCAGGAAAGUGGUGUCCCCACAAUACAUGGGUGGGACUACUGACCCCAGAAUGUUAUAAUUACAAGAAUGUCUGUGUGUGUGUGUGUGUGUGUGUGUGUGUGUUAAAGGUACAGGAGCAGUCUGGCUGUGCAGCUACAGUAAAUGUUAAUAAUAAUAAUAAUAGGACGUUAUUUAAAAGCUCAUACAGCUGAUGUGAUUUUUAUUUAGUAGUUAAUUUAACAUGCUAUGCUAACAUGUAAACAAUAAGAUAAUAUUACCUGACGUCCAUUUUACACUCAAUAUUGUCUGUUUCUGUUCUAUUUCACCAACAAAAAUAUUUCCAAACAAAGCCACAGCAGGUCCUGCUCCUUUUUCCUCCUAAUUCCCUCAUUUCUCCACGUUGGGAUUAAUAAAGUAUUAUUGUAUCUCA